rnacentral:rRNA from 1 species
UAAUGACUCUCAGCAACGGAUAUCUUGGCUCUUGCAACGAUGAAGAACGCAGCGAAAUGCGAUACCUAGUGUGAAUUGCAGAAUUCCGCGAAUCAUCGAGUCUUUGAACGCAAGUUGCGCCCGAGGCUUGUCCCGAGGGCAUGCCUGACUGAGCGUCACU